rnacentral:rRNA from 2 species
UACGUAGGGGGCUAGCGUUGUCCGGAUUUACUGGGCGUAAAGGGUGAGUAGGCGGUUACAUAAGUCAGAUGUAAAAGGCUAAGGCUUAACCAUAGUAUGCAUUUGAAACUGUGUGACUUGAGUACAGGAGAGGUAAGUGGAAUUCCUAGUGUAGCGGUGAAAUGCGUAGAUAUUAGGAGGAACACCAGUGGCGAAGGCGACUUACUGGACUGUAACUGACGCUGAGUCACGAAAGCGUGGGUAGCAAACAGG